CCCUUAGAUGUUCUGGGCCGCACACGCGCUACACGGAAGGAGGCAGCGUGUACUCCUGGAUCGAAAGAUUUGGGUAACCCGCGAAUCUCCUUCGUGCUAGGGAUUGAGGUUUGCAAUUAUCCUUCAUGAACGAGGAAUUCCCAGUAAGUGCAAGUCAUAAGCUUGCGCUGACUACGUCCCUGCCCUUUGUACACACCGCCCGUCGCUACUACCGAUUGAAUGAUUUAGUGAGGACUUCGGACUGGGACCGAUGCGGCUUUCGGGCUGCGUCGGUAUUCUGGAAAGAUGUCCAAACUGUAUCAUUUAGAGGAAGUAAAAGUCGUAACA
rnacentral:rRNA from 1 species